rnacentral:SRP_RNA from 13 species
GCGGUUGGGCGUCGUGGCAACUCCCAGCGUGCCGGUGCCAAGCUGGUAGUUGGCGCCGUUGCCCCAGGCGAAGGCCUCACC